rnacentral:rRNA from 1 species
AAUAGAUACCCCGGUAGUCCACGCCGUAAACGUUGGGCGCUAGAUGUGGGGACCAUUCCACGGUUUCCGUGUCGCAGCUAACGCAUUAAGCGCCCCGCCUGGGGAGUACGGCCGCAAGGCUAAAACUCAAAGGAAUUGACGGGGGCCCGCACAAGCGGCGGAGCAUGCGGAUUAAUUCGAUGCAACGCGAAGAACCUUACCAAGGCUUGACAUAUACGAGAACGCUCUAGAAAUAGAGAACUCUUUGGACACUCGUAUACAGGUGGUGCAUGGUUGUCGUCAGCUCGUGUCGUGAGAUGUUGGGUUAAGUCCCGCAACGAGCGCAACCCUCGUUCUAUGUUGCCAGCAGUUCGGCCGGGAACUCAUAGGAGACUGCCGGGGUCAACUCGGAGGAAGGUGGGGAUGACGUCAAAUCAUCAUGCCCCUUAUGUCUUGGGCUUCACGCAUGCUACAAUGGCCGGUACAAAGGGCUGCAAUACCGCAAGGUGGAGCGAAUCCCAAAAAGCCGGUCUUAGUUCGGAUUGAGGU